GGGGUAUUAGCUCAGUUGGUAGAGCACUUGACUUUUAAUCAAGUUGUCCGGGGUUCGAAUCCCCGAUGCCUCA
rnacentral:tRNA from 18 species